UGCCCAGCAACUCCUAUCCCUACCUCCUCGUGGUACUGACCGGGGUACGAGUAACCUUGAGGAAGAUCGGGUAACCAACCCCCGGUGGGAACUUUGGUCGUAUGCUGACAGGGAGCUGG
rfam:Aedes aegypti strain Liverpool supercont1.188 genomic scaffold, whole genome shotgun sequence.